rnacentral:rRNA from 1 species
CCUACGGGGGGCUGCAGUGGGGAAUAUUGGACAAUGGGGGGAACCCUGAUCCAGCCAUGCCGCGUGUGUGAAGAAGGCCCUCGGGUUGUAAAGCACUUUCAGUGAGGAAGAACGCCUGGUGGUUAAUACCCAUCAGGAAAGACAUCACUCACAGAAGAAGCACCGGCUAACUCCGUGCCAGCAGCCGCGGUAAUACGGAGGGUGCGAGCGUUAAUCGGAAUUACUGGGCGUAAAGCGCGCGUAGGUGGCUUGAUAAGCCGGUUGUGAAAGCCCCGGGCUCAACCUGGGAACGGCAUCCGGAACUGUCAAGCUAGAGUGCAGGAGAGGAAGGUAGAAUUCCCGGUGUAGCGGUGAAAUGCGGAGAGAUCGGGAGGAAUACCAGUGGCGAAGGCCGCCUUCUGGACUGAACCUGACCCUGAGGUGCGAAAGCGUGGGUAGCAAACAGGAUUAGAUACCCCGGUAGUC